UCAUCUACGGGACGCAGCAGUAGGGAAUCUUCCACAAUGGGCGAAAGCCUGAUGGAGCAACGCCGCGUGGGUGAAGAAGGUCUUCGGAUCGUAAAACCCUGUUGUUAGAGAAGAAAGUGCGUGAGAGUAACUGUUCACGUUUCGACGGUAUCUAACCAGAAAGCCACGGCUAACUACGUGCCAGCAGCCGCGGUAAUACGUAGGUGGCAAGCGUUAUCCGGAUUUAUUGGGCGUAAAGGGAACGCAGGCGGUCUUUUAAGUCUGAUGUGAAAGCCCCCGGCUCAACCGGGGAGGGUCAUUGGAAA
rnacentral:rRNA from 1 species